UCCAAAUCCCAAAGAGGAGAAAGAAUAUGUGGAGAGAAGAAUGUAGAGGAAAGAACCAAGCAACAUGACAUGGAAUUCAUGGAGAUAGCUGUAUCUAUUCAAUUACAGCAUAGGAAAUGUUUCUGCUCUUCCUAAAGAGUUUGGGUAGUCCUGUCUGAGAGACUUAAUGCUCGUUUCGGGAGAUGUGUGCAUUUAGGACAACAGUCAUGCCUGUAACUCCAGCUGCAGAGGAGACUGAAGUAGACAAGCCCAUGGCCACCCUAGGAAUGAAUGGAAUCGUUAAAUACAUACUGAUGUGACUGGCUCAUCUCAUUUUACCUUGCUUUGAAGGAAGCCAGCUCUUAUUGGAAAAAGACAACAAGCAUCUUCACCAGGAGUAGAAGCCACUUUCUUUGCUCGUCCAUAAGAAGCAACUCCUCAUCAAUUCAAGUUUGAUCAUGAGAUUGCAACAAGUCACUCGCAUCUUCAGGGUACACUUCCAAUUCCAGUUCUCUUGCUAUUUCCACCACAUCAGCAGUGACUACCUCCACUGAAGUCUUGAACCACUCAAAGUCAUCUAUAAGAGUUGGAAUCAACUUCUUUCAAACCCCCAUUAAAGUGGAUAUUUUGACCUCUUCCCAUGACUCAUGAAUGCUCUUAAUGGCAUCUGAAUGGUGAAUCCUUUCCAUACGUUUUUUAAUUUACUUUGCCCCAGUCCCUCAGAGGAAUCACUUUCUAUUGCAGUUAUAGCCUUAUGAAAUGUUUUUCGUAGAUAAGGCUUGAAAGAUGAAAUUGCUUCUUGAUCCAUGGGUUGCAGAAUGGAUGUGGUACUAGCAGGCAUGAAAACAGCAUUAAUCUUGUGCAUCUCUAGCAGAGCUCUUGGCUGACCAGAUGCAUUAUCAAUGAGCAGUAAUAUUUUGAAAGGCAUCUUCCUGAGCAGUAGGUCUCAACAGUGGGCUUAAAAUAUUCAGUAAACCCAUGCUAUAGACAGAUGUGCUGUCAUCCAGGCUUUGUUGUUUUAUUUACAGAGCCCAGGCAGACUAGAUUUAGUGUAAUUCUUAAGGGCCUUGGGAUUUUCAGAAUGGUAAAUGAGCAUUGGCUUCAAUUUCAAGUCACCAGUUGCAUUAGCCCCUAACAAGAGAGUCAGCCUGCCUUUUGAAGCUUUGAAGCCAGACAUUGGCUUCAUCUCUCUAGCUUUCAAAGUGCUAGGUGGCAUCUUCUUCCAAGAGAAAGCUGUUUCAUCUACAUUGAAAAUUUGUUUAGUGUAGGCUCCUUCAUCAAGGAUCUUAGCUAGAUCUGGAUAACUUACUACAGCUCCUCCAUCAGCACUUGCUAGCUCACCUUGCACUUUUAUGUUAUGAAGACACCUUCUCAUCUUAAACCUCAUGAACCAGUCUCUGUUAACUUCAGACUUUUCUUCUGUAGCUCCCUCACCUCUCUUGGCCUUCAUAGAAUUGAAAAGAGUGACAGCCUUGCUCUGGAUCAGGUUCUGGUUCAAGGGAAUGUGAUGGCUGGUUUGAUCUUCUAUCCAGACCACUCAAACAUUCUCCCUAUCAGCAAUAAGGCUGUUUCAAUUUAUUUUCAUUCAUGUGUUCACUGGAGUAGCACUUUUAAUUUCCUUCAAGAGCUGUUUCUUCACAUUCACAACUUGGCUGAGUAGUGCAGGAGGCCGAGCUUUCAGCCUAUCUCAGCUUUAAGCAUGCCUUCCUCACUAAGCCUAAUCAUUUCUAGCUUUUGAUAAAGAGACAUGUGACCCUUCCUUUCACUUGAACACUUAGAGGCUAAUGUAGGGUUGUUCAUCAGCCUAAUUUCAAUAUUUUUGUGUCUUAGGGAACAGGGACGCCUGAGAAGAGGGACAGAGUCGGGGAAGGGUCAAUCAGAAUGGCUGGCAGUGGGGUAGUCAGAACAGAAUUUAUCAAUGAAGUUCACCAUCUUAUAUGGGCACAAUUCGUGAUGCUCCAAAGCAAUGAUAAUAAUGACAUCAAAGAUCACGGAUCACCAAAACAGAUACAAUAAUCAUGAAAAAGUUUGAAAUAUUGUGAGAGUUACCAAAAUGUGACACACAGACACCAGUGAGCAUAUGCUGUUAGAAAAAUGGCACCAACCGAGUUGCUGGGCACAGGGUUGCCACAAAUCUUCAAUUUGUGAAAAAAUGCAGUAUCUGCAAAGUGCAAUGAAGUGAAAUGCAAUAGAACGAGGAUGGCCUGUGGCUGAAAUGGCUGUCAGUGCGGCCCCAUGGAUGUCCUCAUUAGCAGUCUGUACCAGUGUCUUUUCCAAAGGAAACCAUACUUACCCUGUGAUGUCAGAGGGAAAAAUGAACACACAGGGACAUGGCAAUAACCAUAACAAUAAAGGUAAUAUUGCUGUACCUGUCACCUGAGUGUGACAGCGUGCAUCAAAAACAUUAACUUUUUCAUUUUCAAAUCACUCUUGUGGGGUAAAGAAAGGUAGAAUGCUUCUCAUAAGCCCUCUUCCACUGCAGCAUGAGAAGAGACAUUUUGCUUCUUAGCAAAGAAGUAGCUAAGGCAUAUCCAACUCAGUGUCUCAGAAACCACAAAGACCUCAACUAGUCACCAGAAGAUCCAGCUCAAAGCUCCACCUCUGAAGGGAGAGAGCCUCCUUCCCCAGGGCACAGCCCUACAGCAUCCCGCAAUGCCGCAGCACCACGUCGUCAGUGCCAGGCAGGUGCUGAGGAGGAAGGUGGUAGGAGGAAGCCCAGCUUGCCUGUGUGAGCCAGGGCAGGGAUGGCUCCUGGAGGGUUCCCUCAUCUCUGUAUUUAUUUACUCCUCUUUAUUGUGCCUUCUCCCCACAGGGGUUUCUGAGAAAGGGAUUCAAGUCCCAGGGGUAGAUGGCCUGCAG
rnacentral:lncRNA from 10 species